GGGGGUAUGGCGAAAUUGGUAGACGCUACGGACUUAAUUCAAGUCCCUCUAUCCCCA
rnacentral:tRNA from 1 species